rnacentral:rRNA from 1 species
UACGAAGGGGGCUAGCGUUGCUCGGAAUCACUGGGCGUAAAGCGCACGUAGGCGGAUCUUUAAGUCAGGGGUGAAAUCCUGGAGCUCAACUCCAGAACUGCCUUUGAUACUGGCGAUCUUGAGUCCGGGAGAGGUGAGUGGAACUGCGAGUGUAGAGGUGAAAUUCGUAGAUAUUCGCAAGAACACCAGUGGCGAAGGCGGCUCACUGGCCCGGUACUGACGCUGAGGUGCGAAAGCGUGGGGAGCAAACAGG